rnacentral:rRNA from 1 species
UACGGAGGAUGCGAGCGUUAUCCGGAUUUAUUGGGUUUAAAGGGUGCGUAGGCGGUAUGGUAAGUCAGCGGUAAAAGCCCGGGGCUCAACCCCGGCCCGCCGUUGAAACUGGCUGGCUUGAGUUGGGGAAAGGCAGGCGGAAUGCGCGGUGUAGCGGUGAAAUGCAUAGAUAUCGCGCAGAACCCCGAUUGCGAAGGCAGCGUGCCGUGCCGCCACUGACGCUGAGGCACGAAAGCGCGGGGAUCGAACAGG